CUUUGUUGUAACAACACUAGGAAACUAAUACAAUUAGAACACAAUUAGCUUAUCCUAAAGAGCCAUAGAAAAAAAAAAUCCAAAAAGCUAUACUCUGAGUGUGGGGCUGGAUCUAGGAGUCUUUAACUCUGGGCAUUAAACUUGAGAGGUAAAAGGAAGUUCAUGAUUACUGACUGGUUCACCAGGAUAAGAUAUUCCUUAAGAAUCUAAAAA
rnacentral:lncRNA from 1 species